rnacentral:rRNA from 1 species
ACUUUCAACAACGGAUCUCUUGGUUCUGGCAUCGAUGAAGAACGCAGCGAAAUGCGAUAAGUAAUGUGAAUUGCAGAAUUCAGUGAAUCAUCGAAUCUUUGAACGCACAUUGCGCCCGCCAGCAUUCUGGCGGGCAUGCCUGUUCGAGCGUCAUUUCAACCCUCGACUUCCCUUUGGGGAAAUCGGCGUUGGGGACCGGCCGUAUACCGCCGGCCCCGAAAUGAAGUGGCGGCCCGUCCGCGGCGACCUCUGCGUAGUAAUCCAACUCGCACCGGAACCCCGACGUGGCCACGCCGUAAAACCCCCGACUUCUGAACGUUGACCUCGGAUCAGGUAGGAAUACCCGCUGAACUUAAGCAUAUCAAUAA